AGGAAGAAGCACGCUUAGUGAAAUAACAGUGGACACAAUCAUAAGGGAUCAUGUAAGCCUUUGUAAGGACUUUGGUUUUCGCUCUGGGAGGGGAAACCACUGGAUGGUAUAUAAUACAGCAGUGACGUAAUCUGACAUAUUUUAAAGACACUCUGGGCUGGGCGCUGUGACUCAGGCCUGUAAUCCCAGCACUUUGGGAGGCCGAGGCGGGCAUGGUGGCAGGCACCUGUAGUCCCAGCUACUCCAGGGGGCUGAGUAAGUAGAAGCACAUGAACCAGGCAGGUAGAAAUUGCAGUGAGCCGACGUCACGCCACUGCACUCUAGCCUGGGUAACAGAGCGAGACUCUGUCUCAAAAAAAAAAAGAGACACUCUGGAAGCUCUGUUGGAAUAGACUGUUGGGGGGAGGACAGGGGUAGUGGCAGAAGCAGACCUCAUAAAAGGCUACUGCAGAAAUAUGAUCAAGAGAUGAUGGUCAUUCGUAAAGAUGGUGAGAAGUAGUAAAGUUCUGAAUAUAUUUUGAGGGCAG
rnacentral:lncRNA from 1 species